GCGGCGGCCGCGCCUGUCAGGCCGCGUUAGGAGCAGCGCGGCCGCCGCCCCCUCCGCGGGGAGCGGAGCGGGAGGGGCCCGGCGCACCUGCAGGCCGGCCCCGCCUCACGGGACCCGGCAGCGCCCCGCUCCCUCCCCGCUGACUUGCUCCGCUGUCGCUCCUGGAGGGCAUGGUGAGUUAACAAAAUUAAUGGCAGGUGAAAUUUGCAGCCCUGGGAAAGUAGUACACACUAAAGGGGAAGAUGGAUGGAUUGUCAUGAAGUGAUGGCAUCAGCUCUAAAGAAAAAGGGGUGGCUCCUCGUGUUCUUCAGAGAUUUGAGCUUUUUUCUGAAGCCCACAACUGUCAAUUUCCCACCUUAUAGCUGUCUUCCUCUAUCAAGACAAUUGCACUUAGAAAAAGCACUCCUUGUGACUUUGCUGUAGCCUCUAAUUAUUCUCUGCUGAAAAGAAGAGGAUGCUGGUGUGGCUCCUGUUACAGAGCAAAGAGGAGGCAGAAGGUUACAAGGAAGAUGAAGAGGAAUGAUUAAAGGUGUGGAACAUUUCCAUCUGAGGAGAUAGUAAAUGAAAAGUAAACAGACCAAGAUGUUUGUAUUUGGAGAAAGGGUAACUGAGGGGAUACUAUGAAAGAAAUCUAUGAAAUGGUGACUGGUAUUAAGGCAGAUAGCAAUUACAUACAAAUUUUCACAAUAGGAGCAUUGAAUGGGAAUCUAUAAAAUUGUUGUUUGGCAGGUUCAAAACACAGGGAAAUAUUUUUUUUCCAUAAAAUAAAAAUGAAUGUAGAAUAAACUUGUUAUGAUAAUAAAAAUGAGAAUGGGUUAAAAAAGGAAUCAGAGCCAUCUUACCUUGGAGACAAGCCUAUUGAAGACUAUUAUGCAGUGGUCUAGAAAGAAAUCUCCAGCUUGGAAUUAUUGGGAGCCACAGGAUAUGCCCUGGAAAGCAUAGAUUUGUAUGUCUAAUGUGCUUUUCAUGAGCACCCACAACUGACUACUGUGGGGAAGAAGGAACUGAGCUACAAAGACCUCUGGUCUGCCCAAGUACAGACAUUUUGACUUCUACUUUCCAAACACAGUAAAUUACUUUAAUGAGGCUUCUAAUAUCAGCCAUAUAAUGUGAAGUUAGCACAGGUAGGCAAUAUUUUAGAUAUUACAUCUAACUCCAUAUUUGAUUAACAGCUAUGAAAUAUCUAAAGGGCAUUAUUUGGCAUCAUUCAAAUGGAACUGAUCUUAUGCCAUGGAUGCAACAAACCUCUAUUGAGACCAGAACACUUUCUUUCGGUAACCACCAUGCCACAUGUUUUUAUCAGGCACUGAUUUGGGGGAGAAUUAAUCUUUAUAAAGUUAUUACGUUAGAGUGUCCUAGUUAUGUCAAAGUACAGAGCUGGGGGUUUCUUCAUUUUUACAAAUAUUGCUAAACAUUUAAUUUCAGAUUUUCAGUCUGGUGGAUAAUAAAAUAUGACUACCCACCAAACUUGGAGCAUUAAAUGGAGACUGUGUUUUUGGCAGCUCAUCGUAGAGGGACUAAUAUUUCUAGAAUAGCUUUGUUUCUCAGCAAUGCCUCCUUAAAAACAGCUUCUUCUGAACACAUAUUUCUAUUUUAUUGAGAAAAGGAAAUACAGUAUUAGAAAUCAAUGCUUUUAAAGGGUAAUUUAAAGAAAUCUAUCUUGGCAGAUGCUGAAAUAUUUUCAAUUUAGAACAAAUAGUAUUUCUGUCAUCCAGUUGGAUUUUUAAAAUUAGACCAUUACUCCUUGAUAAGUUAAUUACAAAAGAGAAAGAGACUCAACCAAUCUAAAAAAGCGUAUUGAUGAAAGUAUAGAGCACAUGUCUAAAGGCUGCUUUUACUGAUUUAUGGGUGAAAUUUUACUUUUUAUAUGAGAAAACCCUGUCUCCAAUGUCUUAAAUCAUAGGAAAAAUGCUCAAUUUUUCACCCUAUCACAACUAAUUUUAUACAUUGGUACACUGAUGGACUACUGUUUUCCUGUGCUACCAUCCAUUAUUAAAAGUGACAGCAUCAUAAUUGAAAUUAUUUAAAAUAUGGUGCAUUUAGAUAAUUCUUUACUUCAGUAUAAAUAUGACUACACAAGAAAUGCUGCUAUACUGGAAAUUGCUAGGAUGAGCUAACAAAAUGGAAUUAUUGCUCAGCAUGCCAUAUUUGGGGGUAGGAAAUGAAAAAUAUCAGAACUUCCUUUGAAAUGCAGAAAGGUUAGAGGAAUGGAAGGGAACAUUUUUGUUGUCUGAGAUGCAGACAAGGGAAGCAUGGACUAUGUUGCAACCAUGAGUUGAAAUGUCUCCAGGUCCAUCAGCUGAAUCCUGUUCUUGCCAAAAUCCCUGACAAGUCUUUCAGCUGAGUGAAGUCACAAUUUCACCCCAAGGAUUUUGGGGUAAAAGGAAGUAAAACUCACCAAAAAAAAUUGCACUGUAUGAUUACCUUUGUAUCAUCUAUCCAUGGAUGUUCCUGUAACUGUGAUGCAUGGUUGCAUUUUGUGCUUCUUACAGUAAGAACUUGCCAAGGUGCCCAGUGGGCAUCCUUCCUGAUUAGUGCUGGGGUCUGAGCCAAAGUCAUGGCAGGUAUCAGUCUAAGAGUUUAACAAAAUGAAUAAUGGCAAGCCAGAACCCAAACUAAAUGCCAUCUAUGAGUAAUUUACCAGUAUAGAAACCCUCCUACAGAGCCAACAGAUGUUGCUGUCCUAAAGUGAACAGGCAGAUUUAGCCAUUUCAGAUCCUGUAAAAUUUUAUAGACUUUCACAGACCUGGCCAACUGGUGAAAAAGAACCUGGCCAAGUGCAGAAAAAUGGCAGAAAUAACCAAUCUGGAUUAUGGGGGAUGUCUAUCAAAGUCUAUGAAACUGUACAGUAGCUGAAAAGAUGAAAUUUGCUUGUCCACUUUAGGGAAGCAGCAUAUUGGGGUAAGAAAAUACUUAUAAUAUUAUAAACACAUUAAAUAGAACUGGCCCUAGAACUGAUCCUGGAGGAGCACUGCUGCUGACUGGUCACCAGCCAGUUUUAAGUACAUGCCCUUAACAACAGCCCUUAGAUUGUUCAAUACCAGGUGAAAUCAUUAGAAGUUUUAACAAAAAGGUGUUUGCAGAAGACUUCUAUACUUCAAAUACAAGAAAGGAAAAAAAUAAAAAAGAAGAAAAAAAGUAUGGGACACAAUAAAACUCUCAAUUUUCAGUAUACUGUCCAGUGGUACUUUUGAAAACCCAGAACUUUUGAAAAAACAGGCAAUUUUAAAAAUUAUAUGUUAAGUCUCCUUUAUACAAGGCUUUCCGUAUUACUGCUCACAUCAAUACUAUCUCAGAGAUAACAGUAACCCAUAGAAUGCAAUAUUGCUUACCUUCCCAAAUGUGAAGCAAAAUUUAGGCAGAUACUAUGCCUUGGCUGUACACCUCCAUCUCCUCCCGCUGAUGAACAGCAAUGCAAGUACCACUGUAAACUUUAUGCUGUUUCAUGAGAAAUCCAAGGACACAAUUAUCUCCAUUAUCAGAAAGUAUUCAGCUGUGUCCAGCAUCAUCUCCAGAUGCUUAGCCACAUCUCAGUGUACACUGUAAUAUGAGAUCUAAGACUGACCAGUCUGACUAUUUCUUUAAAAGUUGUAUAGCAGGUGAUCAUCUUUUACCAUAUAUACCUGCAAUUAUGAAAGUAAUUAAGUAGUACAGGUGAGCCCAAGAAGUCCCUCAAAUAAAAUCCCGGAGACUCACAAUGUUAUUGUAAUUAGCUGUCUGUCUUAGUAGGCUGUCUGUUUGUUUUUUGCAUCUGCCCUCCGUGCUGGGGAUGACAACCCAUAAUUUGACAGAAAAAUACUUUAAAUGAUUUCUUACUGAGAUGAGGACUUAUUUUCAUUUUCCCCAGUUCUUUCUUUCCUCUGCUUUUAAUUACAAAUAUUCAUGGCACUGAGAGCCAAAAUAAUGAUCUCCACUCCUCCUAUUUAAAGAGAAAACCUGUCUGGUUUGUUUUAUCUUUACUUUACAAGGUGACAAGAGUCUAAGGACCCUGAAGGACAGGCAUGUCAGCUCCACAGUUUUGGUUUGGGAUCGUUCCAGGUUAGACAACUUUUCAAAUACCCCUAAGUACCACUAUGGAACAGUUUACAUUUUGAUAUAAAUUAGAUUCCUGUCUGUAAGUGUGGACUUCUAAUUUCCACAGAGGAAAAAUGGAACCUGGAAAUUCUAUAUGACAAAUAAACAUA